rnacentral:snRNA from 1 species
AGAUGUGAAGAUAAUCUGGCUGCCCACAUCCUUCACAGCAUUAUUCAACAAAGUAGGGCCAACUAAUUUGACUGGUUAUUUGAUGUCUCUUCCCUAACUCACAAUUUUCCAUUUGGGUCCCUUGGAAAUCUUAGAACUUUUUUGAGAAGAGUUCCUUCUGAGAUAAAGGUGGACCAUUUUUUGAUUAAGGACAUGGGAGUAGUUAUGUUACCCUACUCAGAUUUCAAACAUACUCAUAGAUCUGUAAAGCAAUAAAAAUCUACCAGUUUACCUAGUUUCAGACUGCCUUUUUGCAUAUAAUUUGCAAAACUGU